GAGGGGAAUAUUGGACAAUGGGGGGAACCCUGAUCCAGCCAUGCCGCGUGUGUGAAGAAGGCCUUUUGGUUGUAAAGCACUUUAAGCGAGGAGGAGGCUACCGAGAUUAAUACUCUUGGAUAGUGGACGUUACUCGCAGAAUAAGCACCGGCUAACUCUGUGCCAGCAGCCGCGGUAAUACAGAGGGUGCAAGCGUUAAUCGGAUUUACUGGGCGUAAAGCGCGCGUAGGUGGCCAAUUAAGUCAAAUGUGAAAUCCCCGAGCUUAACUUGGGAAUUGCAUUCGAUACUGGUUGGCUAGAGUAUGGGAGAGGAUGGUAGAAUUCCAGGUGUAGCGGUGAAAUGCGUAGAGAUCUGGAGGAAUACCGAUGGCGAAGGCAGCCAUCUGGCCUAAUACUGACACUGAGGUGCGAAAGCAUGGGGAGCAAACAGGAUUAGAAACCCUGGUAGUCC
rnacentral:rRNA from 1 species